rnacentral:rRNA from 1 species
AUGUGUGUUCUGAAAAGGAAAAGUGGCAUGGGGUUUAGAGACUUGCAUUUUUUUAAUCUAGCUUUGCUUUCUAAGUAAUAUUGGAGGUUGCUUUUUGACCCUGACUGCCUUUGUGCAAAACUCCUCAGAGCAAAGUACUUUCCUUCAGGAGACUUUCUAAACUGUGAACUGAAGAAUGGAAACUCUUAUAUUGGCGAAGUAUUUGGGCGGCAUCCAAACUUUCAAACGGGGACACAUUUGGCGGAUUCGUGA